rnacentral:rRNA from 1 species
AUUGAACGCUGGCGGCAGGCCUAACACAUGCAAGUCGAGCGGAUGAAGGGAGCUUGCUCCUGGAUUCAGCGGCGGACGGGUGAGUAAUGCCUAGGAAUCUGCCUGGUAGUGGGGGAUAACGUCCGGAAACGGGCGCUAAUACCGCAUACGUCCUGAGGGAGAAAGUGGGGGAUCUUCGGACCUUACGCUAUCAGAUGAGCCUAGGUCGGAUUAGCUAGUUGGUGGGGUAAAGGCCUACCAAGGCGACGAGCCGUAACUGGUCUGAGAGGAUGAUCAGUCACACUGGAACUGAGACACGGUCAAGCCUCCUACGGGAGGAAGAGGUGGGAAAUAUUGGAAAAUGGGCGAAACCCUGAUCCAGCCAUGCCGCGUGUGUGAAGAAGGUCUUCGGAUUGUAAAGCACUUUAAGUUGGGAGAAAGGGCAGUAAGUUAAUACCUUGCUGUUUUGACGUUCCCAACAGAUUAAGCCCCGCCUACCUUCGU